AAUAGAUACCCAGGUAGUCCACGCCCUAAACGAUGUCGACUAGGUGUUGGGGAAGGAGACUUCCUUAGUACCGCAGCUAACGCGUGAAGUCGACCGCCUGGGGAGUACGGUCGCAAGAUUAAAACUCAAAGGAAUUGACGGGGACCCGCACAAGCGGUGGAUGAUGUGGAUUAAUUCGAUGCAACGCGAAGAACCUUACCUACCCUUGACAUGUACGGAAGUCCGCUGAGAGGUGGAUGUGCCCGAAAGGGAGCCGUAACACAGGUGCUGCAUGGCUGUCGUCAGCUCGUGUCGUGAGAUGUUGGGUUAAGUCCCGCAACGAGCGCAACCCUUGCCAUUAGUUGCCACAUUCAGUUGGGCACUCUAAUGGGACUGCCGGUGACAAACCGGAGGAAGGUGGGGAUGACGUCAAGUCCUCAUGGCCCUUAUGGGUAGGGCCUCACACGUCAUACAAUGGCGCAUACAGAGGGUUGCCAACCCGCGAGGGGGAGCCAAUCCCAGAAAGUGCGUCGUAGUCCGGACUGGAGU
rnacentral:rRNA from 1 species